rnacentral:rRNA from 1 species
CCUACGGGAGGCAGCAGUAGGGAAUCUUGGACAAUGGGGGCAACCCUGAUCCAGCCAUGCCGCGUGAGUGAAGAAGGCCCUAGGGUCGUAAAGCUCUUUCGCCUGUGAUGAUAAUGACAGUAGCAGGUAAAGAAACCCCGGCUAACUCCGUGCCAGCAGCCGCGGUAAUACGGAGGGGGUUAGCGUUGUUCGGAAUUACUGGGCGUAAAGCGCGCGUAGGCGGAUUGGAAAGUUGGGGGUGAAAUCCCGGGGCUCAACCCCGGAACUGCCUUCAAAACUCCCAGUCUAGAGUUCGAGAGAGGUGAGUGGAAUUCCGAGUGUAGAGGUGAAAUUCGUAGAUAUUCGGAAGAACACCAGUGGCGAAGGCGGCUCACUGGCUCGAUACUGACGCUGAGGUGCGAAAGUGUGGGGAGCAAACAGGAUUAGAUACCCUGGUAGUCCACACCGUAAACGAUGAAUGCCAGUCGUCGGAUAGUAUACUAUUCGGUGACACACCUAACGGAUUAAGCAUUCCGCCUGGGGAGUACGGUCGCAAGAUUAAAACUCAAAGGAAUUGACGG